rnacentral:rRNA from 1 species
UGGCUCAGGACGAACGCUGGCGGCGUGCUUAACACAUGCAAGUCGAACGAGAAUCUGAUGAAGGAGUUUUCGGACAACGGAUUCAGAGGACAGUGGCGGACGGGUGAGUAACGCGUGAGGAACCUGCCUUUCAGAGGGGGACAACAGUUGGAAACGACUGCUAAUACCGCAUAACACAUCGGAGUCGCAUGGCUCUGAUGUCAAAGAUUUAUCGCUGAAAGAUGGCCUCGCGUCCGAUUAGAUAGUUGGCGGGGUAACGGCCCACCAAGUCGACGAUCGGUAGCCGGACUGAGAGGUUGACCGGCCACAUUGGGACUGAGAUACGGCCCAGACUCCUACGGGAGGCAGCAGUGGGGAAUAUUGGGCAAUGGACGCAAGUCUGACCCAGCAACGCCGCGUGAAGGAAGAAGGCUUUCGGGUUGUAAACUUCUUUUAAGAGGGAAGAGUAGAAGACGGUACCUCUUGAAUAAGCCACGGCUAACUACGUG